CCUUAAGUAGAAGCUAGCCCAGUGGCUUCAUGUAGCUGAGAACCAGAGUGAACUGCUCACUGUCACUUAACCGUUCACUGAUAACACCGAGAUUUAAACCAGAUCUUCUCCUCCAAUCAGAUUUUUCUUUCCCUUUUUAUCAUGUUGGCAUGACGGAGGAAUUUUCUCAUUAAAAACACAACUCACGAGAAAAAUGCAUUAAUUGUGUCAUUUUUUUAUAUACUCUGAAUAUAGCACUAAGACCUGAGGUUUGCAGUGGAAUAGAGAAAGAGAAACACCCUACCAAACUUUUAAACACAAACAGAACCAGUCCUAUAUAAUCCUUGCGUUAGUUCUAACAUCAUCCUCGCCCUGGGAUGUGUUCCCUGAAUCUGCCCGGCUGAUUCAGCGAGAACUGUGACUGCAGUGGCCUGUGCUCUGGGCUCUGGCCUGAGCUCAUCCUUAUUUUUCAGCGAGGAGACUUGGGGGUCAGUGGGGCUAAGUGCCUGCUCCACCGUCACUCGUGAUGGGCAGGGUGACGGUCACACUGAAGCCCGAGACUUUUCACUCUGUCCCUGGGCUCGCAGUGAUGCUGGGAACCAUAAAUUCAGCAGGACCGUGGAGGGCUCUUUCACUUCCAAAUAAUUCAUUUUAGAUUUUCCAUUUUGACAGGCCUUUCUGUUUAAAGAAAACAACCUGUUGGUGGCUCCAGCUGCAAUGUAGGCGGCUUGUAAAGGCGAUGUUAGGAGAAGCUUGAGAGAGAAGAGAUGAGGGUCGGGAAUCCACUCUUGCCCCUCCUUUCUGGAACUCCCCGGUUUUUAAAGUGGUGGACGGUGCCGGCAGAGCAGCCAACUCGAAGCAGAGAUGAAGUGCAGCUGCGGGUGCUGGUGUGAGCCCCAGUGAGAGCUGGAACUGACGGUGUGUGACCAACUGCAGCAGCCAGGGAACAAUGGCUCCGAGGAGAGAGAGUCACAACGUCCAGCGGUGAGUGUCCUUUGGUUUCCUCAGGGAACACGGGAGGCCAAGGACACUUAGCUUUGCCAGAUUCCUGGAACUCCAGCCCAGCCGGCCAUCCGAGUCCUCCGUCCGCUCACCGAGCUGUGCUGGCAACUAACCUGUCACGGUGGGACUGAGCCCGAGGGAGGUGCCACAAAGUGAAACUGGCUCCUGGAUCUGCCGGGUGAGAGUGAAAGUAAAGGUCACUUUUUGGUCCCCUGAGACCAAGACGCAACGGCAGCUCAUCCCUCAGCCCCGCAUCCUUCCUUCCGAGCCCCGGAUCACGCAGACCUUACAGAGUCUUCAUACGGAGUGGUGAACACCACCAGUUUCUCAUCUUUGUUCAUGAGCUGUCCGCACGGAAUCUAAAAGAAAAAAAAUUGAAGGACGUGAGGCUCAGACGUGUCUCAAAUGAAGUUUACUAUCCCAGCCAGAUGCGAGAAGACAGACCACAAGCUUACCUUCUGCCGGGUCCUAAUCAAAGUGACAAAGGAGACAAUUGGACAAAAGAUACUCUGCAAUCAAAGGGCUUCUCUUUCAAGUGGAAGCAAAUAAAUAAAAUAAAGCCCACCCUGAGGACACAGGCCUUGUCAAUAUCAUUGCCUCAUUUCUUUCAGAGGAAAUAAACAACAGAAGGCCAGGAUUGAGAAAACAUUUGGAGUCUCGCUUUGUUGCCUGGGCUAGAGUGCCGUGGUGUCA